rnacentral:rRNA from 1 species
UUCGGCGUAAAAAGUGGUUAGAUUUGAUUGUAACUAGAGUCGAACUUUCUCAAAGCUGUUAUACGCCCUCGAGAAUAGGAAUUACUUCCACGAAAGUGCUUUAUUCUAUUGAGCCCACGAAAGCUAAGACACAAACUGGGAUUAGAUACCCCACUAUGCUUAGCCUUAAACACAGGUGUUGCACUUACAUAUAACACCCGCCUGGGAACUACGAGCACUAGCUUAAAACCCAAAGGACUUGGCGGUGCUUAAUAACCCCCUAGAGGAGCCUGUUCUAGAACCGAUAACCCUCGUUAAACCUCACCCUUUCUUGCUUAUUCCGCCUAUAUACCGCCGUCGUCAGCUUACCCUGUGAAGGAAAACAGUAAGCAAACUAGUAU